rnacentral:rRNA from 1 species
UACGUAGGGUGCAAGCGUUUGUCCGGAAUUAUUGGGCGUAAAGAGCUCGUAGGCGGCCUGUCGCGUCGGAUGUGAAAAUCCAAGGCUCAACCUUGGACCUGCAUUCGAUACGGGCAGGCUAGAGUUCGGUAGGGGAGACUGGAAUUCCUGGUGUAGCGGUGAAAUGCGCAGAUAUCAGGAGGAACACCGGUGGCGAAGGCGGGUCUCUGGGCCGAUACUGACGCUGAGGAGCGAAAGCGUGGGGAGCGAACAGG